rnacentral:rRNA from 1 species
AUUGAACGCUGGCGGCAGGCCUAACACAUGCAAGUCGAGCGGAUGACGGGAGCUUGCUCCUUGAUUCAGCGGCGGACGGGUGAGUAAUGCCUAGGAAUCUGCCUGGUAGUGGGGGACAACGUUUCGAAAGGAACGCUAAUACCGCAUACGUCCUACGGGAGAAAGCAGGGGACCUUCGGGCCUUGCGCUAUCAGAUGAGCCUAGGUCGGAUUAGCUAGUUGGUGGGGUAAUGGCUCACCAAGGCGACGAUCCGUAACUGGUCUGAGAGGAUGGUCAGUCACACUGGAAAUGAGACACGGUCCAGACUCCUACGGGAGGCAGCAGUGGGGAAUAUUGGACAAUGGGCGAAAGCCUGAUCCAGCCAUGCCGCGUGUGUGAAGAAGGUCUUCGGAUUGUAAAGCACUUUAAGUUGGGAGGAAGGGCAGUAAGCUAAUACCUUGCUGUUUUGACGUUACCGACAGAAUAAGCACCGGCUAACUCUGUGCCAGCAGCCGCCGCCG